rnacentral:ncRNA from 1 species
ACCGUAGUAAUUCUAGAGCUAAUACGUGCAACAAACCCCGACUUUUGGAAGGGAUGCAUUUAUUAGAUAAAAGGACGACGCGGGCUUUGCCUGUUACUCUGAUGAUUCAUGAUAACUCGACGGAUCGCACGGCCUUUGUGCCGGUGACGCAUCAUUCAAAUUUCUACCCUAUCAACUUUCGAUGGUAGGAUAGUGGCCUACU